rnacentral:rRNA from 1 species
AAAAGCUCGUAGUUGGAUCUCAGCUCCGGCCGGACGGUCCGCCUACCGGUGGUUACUGUUCGUCGCCGAGCGUUCAGGCGGUUAUUCUUGAUGAUCUUCACCGGUUGUCUCGGGUGACCGCCAAGUUUACUUUGAAAAAAUUAGAGUGCUCAAAGCAGGCGCGACGCCUGAAUAAUUGUGCAUGGAAUAAUGGAAUAGGACCUCGGUUCUAUUUUGUUGGUUUUCGGAACACGAGGUAAUGAUUAAGAGGGACAGACGGGGGCAUUCGUAUUGCGACGCUAGAGGUGAAAUUCUUGGACCGUCGCAAGACGAACUACUGCGAAAGCAUUUGCCAAGAAUGUUUCCAUUAAUCAAGAACGAAAGUUAGAGGUUCGAAGGCGAUCAGAUACCGCCCUAGUUCUAACCAUAAACGAUGCCAGCCAGUACUCCGCCUGUGUUCCUCAAAUGACACGGCGGGCGACUUCCGGGAAACCAAAGCUUUUGGGUUCCGGGGGAAGUAUGGUUGCAAAGCUGAAACUUAAAGGAAUUGACGGAAGGGCACCACCAGGAUUGGAGCCUGCGGCUUAAUUUGACUCAACACGGGAAAACUUACCCGGCCCGGACACAGGAAGGAUUGACAGAUUAAGAGCUCUUUCUUGAUUCUGUGGGUGGUGGUGCAUGGCCGUUCUUAGUUGGUGGGGCGACUUGUCUGGUUAAUUCCGAUAACGAACGAGACUCUAGCCUACUAAAUAGACGUUCCGAUCCUCUUUCGUCGGACGUUCUUCUUAGAGGGACAGGCGGCGUUUAGCCGCACGAGACAGAGCAAUAACAGGUCUGAGAUGCCCUUAGAUGUCCGGGGCCGCACGCGCGCUACAUUGAAGGAAUCAGCGUGUGCUUUCCCUGUCUGAAAAGACUGGGUAACCCGUUGAACCUCCUUCGUGCUGGGGAUUGGCGCCUGUAAUUACUCGCCAUGAACGAGGAAUUCCCAGUAAGCACGAGUCAUCAGCUCGUGUUGAUUACGUCCCUGCCCUUUGUCCACACCGCCCGUCGCUACUACCGAUUGAAUGAUUUAGUGAGGUCUUCGGACUGGCGCUCGGAUUGGCCUUCGCGGUCGAGCCGGUGUGCCGGAAAGAUGACCAAACUUGAUCAUUUAGAGGAAGUAAAAGUCGUAACAAGGUUUU